rnacentral:rRNA from 1 species
CGUAGGUGGCAAGCGUUAUCCGGAAUUAUUGGGGCGUAAAGCGCGCGCAGGUGGUUUCUUAAGUCUGAUGUGAAAGCCCACGGCUCAACCGUGGAGGGUCAUUGGAAACUGGGAGACUUGAGUGCAGAAGAGGAAAGUGGAAUUCCAUGUGUAGCGGUGAAAUGCGUAGAGAUAUGGAGGAACACCAGUGGCGAAGGCGACUUUCUGGUCUGUAACUGACACUGAGGCGCGAAAGCGUGGGAGCAAACAGGAUU